AACGUAGGACGCAAGCGUUAUCCGGAAUUACUGGGCGUAAAGCGCGUGUAGGUGGUUUUAUAAGUCACUGUUGAAAGCUCCCGGCUAAACUGGGAGAGGUGCGGUGAGACUGUAGAGCUAGAGUUUGGGAGAGGGAUGCGGAAUUCCAGGUGUAGCGGUGAAAUGCGUAGAUAUCUGGAGGAACACCGGUGGCGAAGGCGACAUCCUGGACCGGUAUUGACGCUGAGGCGCGAAAGCCAGGGGAGCAAAGCGGG
rnacentral:rRNA from 1 species